GGGACGGGGGGAGGAUGGGCGGAGGGGACGGGGGGAGGAUGGGCGGAGGGGACGGGGUGACGGGGGGAUGACGAAGUGGGUGUGAAAAGAGGAGCCAAAAGAGGGGUGAUGGUAGACAGGGAGAUGAGAGAGGUUGGUUAUCAUGUGGAGGAUUGGGGAAAGCAAGAUUAAAUGAGGAGAGAGAGGUCGACAAAGUGUACAUGGUACAAGGCAGAGGAAGAGGAAGGUUGAGGAAAUGAGAGAGAUGGGGUGAGUGUACAUGGUAGAAGGCAGAUGAAGAGGAAGGUUGAGGAAAUGAGAGAGAUGGGGUGAGUGUACAUGGUAGAAGGCAGAUGAAGAGGAAGGUUGAGGAAAUGAGAGAGAUGGGGUGAGUGUACAUGGUAGAAGGCAGAGGAAGAGGAAGGUUGAGGAAAUGAGAUAGAUGGGGUGAGUGUACAUGGUAGAAGGCAGAUGAAGAGGAAGGUUGAGGAAAUGAGAGAGAUGGGGUGAGUGUACAUGGUAGAAGGCAGAUGAAGAGGAAGGUUGAGGAAAUGAGAGAGAUGGGGUGAGUGUACAUGGUAGAAGGCAGAUGAAGAGGAAGGUUGAGGAAAUGAGAGAGAUGGGGUGAGUGUACAUGGUAGAAGGCAGAGGAAGAGGAAGGUUGAGGAAAUGAGAGAGAUGGGGUGAGUGUACAUGGUAGAAGGCAGAGGAAGAGGAAGGUUGAGGAAAUGAGAGAGAUGGGGUGAGUGUACAUGGUAGAAGGCAGAUGAAGAGGAAGGUUGAGGAAAUGAGAGAGAUGGGGUGAGUGUACAUGGUAGAAGGCAGAUGAAGAGGAAGGUUGAGGAAAUGAGAGAGAUGGGGUGAGUGUACAUGGUAGGAGGCAGAUGAAGAGGAAGGUUGAGGAAAUGAGAGAGAUGGGGUGAGUGUACAUGGUAGAAGGCAGGGGAUAAGAAUAAGAAAUGAUUAUGGAUAAGAAGAAAAAGAAAGACGAGAGUCACUAAGAGAGUAGUGUAUCUGUUAAAUCACCAUGACUACAGUAUAUCUGUUAAAUCACCCUGACUACAGUAUAUAACAGUAUAUCUGUUAAAUCACCCUGACUACAGUAUAUCUGUUAAAUCACCAUGACUACAGUAUAUAACAGUAUAUCUAUUAAAUCACCCUGACUACAGUAAAAACAGUAUAUCUGUUAAAUCACCCUGACUACAGUAUAUCUGUUAAAUCACCAUGACUACAGUACAUCUGUUAAAUCACCCUGACUACAGUAUAUAACAGUAUAUCUGUUAAAUCACCAUGACUAUAGUAUAUCUGUUAAAUCACCAUGACUACAGUAUAUCUGUUAAAUCACCAUGACUACAGUAUGUCUGUUAAAUCACCCUGACUACAGUAUAUCUGUUAAAUCACCAUGACUACAGUAUAUCUGUUAAAUCACCCCGACUACAGUAUAUAACAGUAUAUCUGUUAAAUCACCAUGACUACAGUAUAUCUGUUAAAUCACCCUGACUACAGUAUAUAACAGUGUAUCUGUUAAAUCACCAUGACUACAGUAUAUCUGUUAAAUCACCCUGACUACAGUAUAUAACAGUGUAUCUGUUAAAUCACCAUGACUACAGUAUAUCUGUUAAAUCACCCUGACUACAGUAUAUAACAGUAUAUCUGUUAAAUCACCAUGACUACAGUAUAUCUGUUAAAUCACCCUGACUACAGUAUAUCUGUUAAAUCACCAUGACUACAGUAUAUAACAGUAUAUCUGUUAAAUCACCCUGACUACAGUAUAUAACAGUAUAUCUAUUAAAUUACCCUGACUACAGUAUAUCUGUUAAAUUACCCUGACUACAGUAUAUCUGUUAAAUCACCAUGACUACAGUAUAUCUGUUAAAUCACCAUGACUACAGUAUAUCUGUUAAAUCACCCUGACUACAGUAAAAACAGUAUAUCUGUUAAAUCACCCUGACUACAGUAUAUAACAUUAUAUCUAUUAAAGCACCAUGACUACAGUAUAUCUGUUAAAUCACCAUGACAACAGUAUACAACAGUAUAUCUGUUAAAUCACCAUGACUACAGUAUAUAACAGUAUAUCUGUUAAAUCACCCUGACUACAGUAUAUAACAGUAUAUCUAUUAAAUUACCCUGACUACAGUAUAUCUGUUAAAUUACCCUGACUACAGUAUAUCUGUUAAAUCACCAUGACUACAGUAUAUCUGUUAAAUCACCCUGACUACAGUAAAAACAGUAUAUCUGUUAAAUCACCCUGACUACAGUAUAUAACAUUAUAUCUAUUAAAGCACCAUGACUACAGUAUAUCUGUUAAAUCACCAUGACAACAGUAUACAACAGUAUAUCUGUUAAAUCACCAUGACUACAG